GAAAUGCGAUAAGUAAUGUGAAUUGCAGAAUUCAGUGAAUCAUCGAAUCUUUGAACGCACAUUGCGCCCCCUGGUAUUCCGGGGGGCAUGCCUGUUCGAGCGUCAUUUCACCACUCAAGCCUCGCUUGGUAUUGGGCGACGCGAUCCGCCGCGCGCCUCAAAUCGACCGGCUGGGUCUUCCGUCCCCUCAGCGUUGUGGAAACUAUUCGCUAAAGGGUGCCGCGGGAGGUCACGCCGCAAAACAACCCCAUUUCUAAGGUUGACCUCGGAUCAGGUAGGGAUACCCGCUGAACUUAAGC
rnacentral:misc_RNA from 1 species